rnacentral:rRNA from 2 species
CUGAUGCGUUGUUGGGUAGGGGAGCGUUCUGUAAGCCUGCGAAGGUGGCCUGUGAGGGUUGCUGGAGGUAUCAGAAGUGCGAAUGCUGACAUAAGUAACGAUAAAGCGGGUGAAAAGCCCGCUCGCCGGAAGACCAAGGGUUCCUGUCCAACGUUAAUCGGGGCAGGGUGAGUCGACCCCUAAGGCGAGGCCGAAAGGCGUAGUCGAUGGGAAACGGGUUAAUAUUCCCGUACUUGGUGUUACUGCGAAGGGGGGACGGAGAAGGCUAUGUUGGCCGGGCGACGGUUGUCCCGGUUUAAGCGUGUAGGCUGGUUUUCCAGGCAAAUCCGGAAAAUCAAGGCUGAGGCGUGAUGACGAGGCACUACGGUGCUGAAGCAACAAAUGCCCUGCUUCCAGGAAAAGCCUCUAAGCAUCAGGUAACAUCAAAUCGUACCCCAAACCGACACAGGUGGUCAGGUAGAGAAUACCAAGGCGCUUGAGAGAACUCGGGUGAAGGAACUAGGCAAAAUGGUGCCGUAACUUCGGGAGAAGGCACGCUGACACGUAGGUGAAGUGAUUUACUCAUGGAGCUGAAGUCAGUCGAAGAUACCAGCUGGCUGCAACUGUUUAUUAAAAACACAGCACUGUGCAAACACGAAAGUGGACGUAUACGGUGUGACGCCUGCCCGGUGCCGGAAGGUUAAUUGAUGGGGUCAGCGCAAGCGAAGCUCCUGAUCGAAGCCCCGGUAAACGGCGGCCGUAACUAUAACGGUCCUAAGGUAGCGAAAUUCCUUGUCGGGUAAGUUCCGACCUGCACGAAUGGCGUAAUGAUGGCCAGGCUGUCUCCACCCGAGACUCAGUGAAAUUGAACUCGCUGUGAAGAUGCAGUGUACCCGCGGCAAGACGGAAAGACCCCGUGAACCUUUACUAUAGCUUGACACUGAACAUUGAGCCUUGAUGUGUAGGAUAGGUGGGAGGCUUUGAAGUGUGGACGCCAGUCUGCAUGGAGCCGACCUUGAAAUACCACCCUUUAAUGUUUGAUGUUCUAACGUGGACCCGUUACCCGGGUUGCGGACAGUGUCUGGUGGGUAGUUUGACUGGGGCGGUCUCCUCCUAAAGAGUAACGGAGGAGCACGAAGGUUGGCUAAUCCUGGUCGGACAUCAGGAGGUUAGUGCAAUGGCAUAAGCCAGCUUGACUGCGAGCGUGACGGCGCGAGCAGGUGCGAAAGCAGGUCAUAGUGAUCCGGUGGUUCUGAAUGGAAGGGCCAUCGCUCAACGGAUAAAAGGUACUCCGGGGAUAACAGGCUGAUACCGCCCAAGAGUUCAUAUCGACGGCGGUGUUUGGCACCUCGAUGUCGGCUCAUCACAUCCUGGGGCUGAAGUAGGUCCCAAGGGUAUGGCUGUUCGCCAUUUAAAGUGGUACGCGAGCUGGGUUUAGAACGUCGUGAGACAGUUCGGUCCCUAUCUGCCGUGGGCGCUGGAGAACUGAGGGGGGCUGCUCCUAGUACGAGAGGACCGGAGUGGACGCAUCACUGGUGUUCGGGUUGUCAUGCCAAUGGCACUGCCCGGUAGCUAAAUGCGGAAGAGAUAAGUGCUGAAAGCAUCUAAGCACGAAACUUGCCCCGAGAUGAGUUCUCCCUGAGACUUAGAGUCUCCUGAAGGAACGUUGAAGACGACGACGUUGAUAGGCCGGGUGUGUAAGCGCAGCGAUGCGUUGAGCUAACCGGUACUAAUGAACCGUGAGGCUUAACCUUACAACGCCG